GAUGAACGCUGGCGGCGUGCCUAAUACAUGCAAGUCGAGCGAACAGACGAGGAGCUUGCUCCUCUGACGUUAGCGGCGGACGGGUGAGUAACACGUGGAUAACCUACCUAUAAGACUGGGAUAACUUCGGGAAACCGGAGCUAAUACCGGAUAAUAUAUUGAACCGCAUGGUUCAAUAGUGAAAGACGGUUUUGCUGUCACUUAUAGAUGGAUCCGCGCCGCAUUAGCUAGUUGGUAAGGUAACGGCUUACCAAGGCAACGAUGCGUAGCCGACCUGAGAGGGUGUUCGGCCACACUGGAACUGAGACACGGUCCAGACUCCUACGGGAGGCAGCAGUAGGGAAUCUUCCGCAAUGUGCGAAAGCUUGACGGAGCAACGCCGCGUGAGUGAUGAAGGUCUUCGGAUCGUAAAACUCUGUUAUUAGGGAAGAACAAAUGUGUAAGUAACUAUGCACGUCUUGACGGUACCUAAUCAGAAAGCCACGGCUAACUACGUG
rnacentral:rRNA from 1 species